GUGCCCCAACCCGGCCACUUCUGGUUCGGAGCACUCGGGGGCCCGACACCUGUCGAUUUGUUCUCCCCCGCACAACACAGUGCACUCACUCGGUGACCCGACCCGGCCACUCCCGGCCCGAAAUCACUCGGGGAGCCGGACACCUACAUUCCUUACAUGUUUACAGCACACACGAGCUAUCUGGUUUCUAGCACCCUGACCCAUACACAUUUGGCUCGGAGCACUUGGGGGCCAGACCAUGGUCUUCGACCAUCAUACUUUUUGUUGUUUCCCACCUCUACAGCCCCUUGCCCUGAGCACUCUCAGGCCAAGGCGCUCGGGGGCCUCACUAGGACGAACCAUGCAGCACGCACACACUAGUUUCUCUCAUCACACAACACACAGAAACUCUCGUAACCAAAUCAAAAAGCAAAUGCCAGAACGUUCUCAAAAAAGCGAACCCAAGCGAGACGGAAAAUAGAGCAAAAACGAGAACCAAACACAAAUUUAAGCAUGGUCAGGGGCGCCACGCACACGGCGAACACCCUAGAUGUUCACCCAAGCCGCACGAACGGCUCGGGUUACAGCACUUACACACUUUUUAUAAUUAAACAAAAUAAAAAGACCGGCCGCCGACCGGCCCCACGCUCUGCCACCAUCCCGCCGGGCCCCUACAGGCCGUCCAGCUUCGGGUCCGCACCGCAUCGCAGGAGGUCGUCGACGUCCAUCUCCGCCGCGAUGACCCGCUCAAACCUGGCGAAGUCCAGCAUGGUUCGCCAACGAACCGCCGCACUGGAGGUCUCCGGGAACCCGGGGUCUGUUCCUCCGAGGUGCACCCCGGUGCAUAGACGGAUGGAGGCCAAUGCGGCGGCGGCACCACGGUGGAUCCCCAACCGCACUGACGAGCGAAUGAUCUUCGGGGAGGGCGUGGAGCUGGUCCACCCGCAUGGGCGCCUGCGGCUCCACCACACGGAAGACGGCGAGCGCGCCGUCCUCCAGGGCCUCGCGCUGGUCCUCCACCUCACCGAGGCGGCGCUGCAGGUCUGUCACCUCGCGGCUGACGGUCUCCAACUCCUCCAGCACUUCGGGCAAAAAUUGAGAAAUGCAGGAAAAGCUGGGGAUGGAAGACGCGAUCAAGAAUAGAACUCACCAAAGGCACGGGCCUGGGCGUCCGCCGCGGCAUCUCUUGACGAGCGUACCUCCUCCUCGGCAGCACCCCGGGCCACCUCGACUGCCCGCAGGUUGUCCCACAAGUGCUCGAUCUCGACCGAGGCCGCCGAGAAGCGACCACAUGCCAGGUCGCACUCCCGCUGCACAGCCGCUAUGUCCGGGUGGACUUCCCCGGAACCGGACUCCGCGGAGGCAGCGGACGUAGCGGGCGAACCCAGCGCAGGCAAGCCUGGCGUAGGCAAGAAUGACACUCCAGCAGCCGCGACCAACGGCACCGGCGGCGCGAUGGAGGACGAAGCUGAGCCGCUGCUGGCAGCGACUGACGCUCCAGCGCAACCCCACGCCGGGGACCCGCCGGACGAAGGACUCAGAGACACCAGGGCCACCCGAUGGCCCAACGCCACCUCAUCCCACGAUCCACGCUCCGGGACCCGUCGACGGCACCCUACGACCGCGCAGGUAUUACCAUGAAUACGGCAAGAUAAAAUGCAUGGACGAAAGAAUGAGGACAACGCCGAAAGAUACCUCCCCCGGAAGAGCUCGCGGCAUACCCGCAGCCGACCGCGCGGCGCGGCACUGGACUCCUCAUCGCGGGGAUGCUUGCCGUCGGCCAUCACGGGAAGAUCAACGAUGACGACGAAGGCGGUCAGCACUCCUCCUUCUUCUCCUUCCCCUCGCACCUUUGCUCUCCCUCUUUCUCUCUGUUUUCCUCCGAGCAACUGGCAAGCAGCAGUGACUAUGGAGACGAGGCGACGGGAGGCAGAUGAUUAAAUAGGCGAUCAUCGUCAUCACCCCGCAGCGGUUCCCGAGCGAAACGACGCCUCGAGACACGAGCCGCCACAAAUGGGCCUCUCCACAGCAACCGGUGCGACGCAUCAGUUCCACAGGAGACCUCAUCAAGUUGAAUUAAAGAUACCCUUGAAUUAAAGAUACCAUUGUAUCAGUGAUGGUAGCUCCGGUAAGGCUCUUAGCUUCUCAGAUCAAUUUGAUGUCAUUUCUUUGUUGCUUAGUGCUUACUGCAGCUCAAAUAAUUUCAGUUGUUAAUCAAUAGGUUCAUGUAUUUCAAUCUGUAACGUUCAUGUGCCAUGAGUACACGUCAGUAUCUUCUCAACUUUCUAGCCAUGAGUCCAAUACUUGGUUCAUCAAUAUAUUUAUAAAUAAGAUAUUUCUUAGAUCUGCACAAAAUAAUUGAUUUUAGUUGGGCAUGCAACUUUUUCAUGUGAUUUUCUUUUACUCCAUGAACACAGCAUGGUGCCUGCAUUUAUCGAUAUUAAAAGGUUCCAAUCUUGCUUAUUUACUGCUGCAAAAGACUCAUUUAUCGAGAAUCUUUGAGGUUCGUCUGUUUACAUGUCCUGUGCAUGUAAUUAUGCUAGGUUGCCACUCCCCCCUGCGUCACUUUUAUAGACACGAGUACUUAUGGUUCAUAUUAUGUUCCAUUUGUCACGAGAUAUCCAGAUUGCAACUUGCUGCAAGUAUACCGGAGAUAUAUUCUGUGUAGACUUUUCUAAAGGAGAAAUGAAAACACAUGUCUAUGUUUUUUUAGCUUCAAUUUAUAGUUUUAUCACAAGUAUUGUCUGAUUAUAAUAUAAGCAAAUCAACCAAUGGUUAGAUCUAUGGUUAGGAUAGUAUUGCUCCAGCGCUUGCAAGUAGAGAAAUUUUUUAUAAUUUGAGAAAAUAAGAAAAGUGUUUCUACUAUGAUGUGUGUUUGAAAAUGUAACUGAACUCGAACAUCUCACAUUCCAGUGGGAUUUCCUUUUAUUUCUAAUCUCACAUUCCACUGUAGUUUUCUUUCAUUGUCAUGAUAGGGCGCACAACGCUCGCCAAAUGUUCUAGUUGUAUAAAUCUGAAGCUCAUUCAUUGUAAAUCUAAAGCCACUCCAAUCUGACAAUACUUCAAGUCACUUCUCGUUUCCCAGUCUGUUGCUACUUUCAAAACAAGGCCGUGGAAGAUUUCUAAUUCAAGUGAAAAGUGUGAAAGUGAAAGCAAUGUUUGAUUCCAGGCCUAACUUUGAUAGUGUCUUUCUGAUCGAGUCCAAUAGAAUGAUUUUGGUACUGUAUAUAGGUUUGUAGCAAAAUAUAUACUGAAAGUGUACUUUGUAACUUGAGAUUGGGCUAUUGAAUUUUGGAUGUGUCACUGUUGAUAUUGAAAGUGUACUUUGUAACCAGAGAUUGGGCUAAGCUGGGCCUAAUUAUUUUUAAUUUUGGGAUGUAAAAUCUAUUGGAAAAAUAAAUUUCGAAA